rnacentral:lncRNA from 1 species
UUCAAACAAAGCAUACCAAUGAAAAUUCAAGGUAUCUUGUAACUUCCCCCCCACCUUUUCGGGAGCUGGGAGGGGUUACCAAGCUGUUCCCAAAGCUGAAGGAAAAGAAGGCAUAGUGUGCCUCAGCAACUUUCCUGAGCUCCGUAUUUCCUUGACUGCAGUUUGUGUUACCUAUAAAGGGAGAUUUAUCAUAUCUUGGUGCCAAAGCUCAAAAAUUACUGGGUAAAAUAUAUACAUCCCCAUGUAUGCUGCUUAAAUACACACAUGAACAUAUAAUUCAAAUUUUCACUGUGCUAUAUUUAAGUAGGUAAGACAAGAAAGACAAAAUCUCUGAAUUGAAGCAGAUAUGAAGCAUAUAAAUGAUAGUACUUCCUUUUUAUUUAGUGCCUUUACUUUUUGAAAUUUUUGCACGUAAUUUUAUUUCAUCCUGACAACUUUAAAUAGUUCAUAAGACAAGUAUACACUUUAUAAAUGUCUAAGACACAGAGAGGCAAAGGUAAAUGCUUAAAGGUUGUUGGACUAUAAUGGCAAUUAGCUAACUUCCUGAAUUAUCUCCUUUACAGGAAUUCCCUUUUAAAAUAUUAUAUACAGAUAUAUACAGACACACACAAGAAGUAUAUAUUCAUAAAUAUUCUUAAAAAUUAAGGUUAUCAAUAUGAAGUGUGUCAGUCCCUUGGAGGAAUUAGUUUAACUUCGUUGUAGAUGGACCAGAUUUGAAAUGAGCAAAAAGUCUAUGCCUAAAUUUUUCAAAUAAAAAGAGCAUUGAAAAACAUCUUGAUUUCCCUCUCCUUGCCCCCUACCAAUCCUAGUAGGAUUGUGCUUUCAAUCAGAGACUCUGCCUUCAAUCUGAGUGACAUCAGACUCAGAGCCCACACUUUAAGGCAAAAAAAAAAAACAAAAAACCAAAAAACAAACCACCACCGGCUAAUAUCACCCUUGUUUCCAACUAAUUAGGAAUUACUUCUUAAGUACCAAAGUUGCCUCUCCCACCUGAUUUCCAUAAAGACCUGAUUUACUACACUUAUUCUGAAAACUGCAAUUCAUACUAACGUAAUCUGACUGAUGAGGUGAGAGUAUUACCAGUACUGAAAAACAUUUUCCCAAUUACAGUUUACUUUUAGGGUCCUGGGAAAAACAGACAAGGAGACAAAACAGAAAUCUCUGGGCUCUUAAUAUUAGUUGUUAUUGACUAAUCAGCAUCUGCUAUGCCUGGGGACUAAAUUCAAGCCUGACUCACAGAAGAAAACUAUUAAUGAUUUUUUUUUUAAUACAAGCAUCUUUUCUCUUUUAGCUGCUUCCCACAUUUAUCAUCACCAUGCGAACACAAUAUAAAAGCAGCCAGUAUUAUUAGAACUGAUCAAGGAUGCAGAAUAGAGAAAAAGAUUGCCUGGUGCAUUUCUAGUUCCCUUAGUCUUCAUACAAACACGCAUGCAGGUAGGCACACUUGAAAUAUACAGAAAACUCAUUAAAGAUAGACUAGGGUGGGCCAGGCAUGGUGUCUCACGCCUGUAAUCCCAGCACUUUGGGUGGCCGAGGCGGUGGAUCACGAGGUCAGGAGUUCAAGAUCAGUAUGGCCAAGGUGGUGAAACCCUGUCUCUGCUAAAAAUUAAAAAAAAAUAGCUGGGUGUGGUGGUGGGCGCCUGUAAUCUUAGCUACUUGGGAGGCUGAGGCAGGAAAAUGGCGUGAACCCAGGAGGCAGAGGUUGCAGUGAGCCGAGAUCGUGCCACUGCACUCCAGCCUGGGCAACAGAGGGAGACUCCAUCAAAAAAAAAAAAAAAAAAAAAAAAGACUAGAGUGGCAUAAGAUGAGAUUUGAAGGUAGUAGGGAAGUCAUGAACUUAAUGACUUUGGGUCUGUGGUUUGCUAUAUUCAAUGCUUUUUAUGUCUUUUUAAAUUUUACCCACCCUACCACACUGCUUCUGUGAGUUAAUUUAUAAUUUUCCUCUGGGUAAAAUCAGGCUGCCAAUUACAUCAUUUUCAGAAAAAUAUUAUUUCGUUGUGUUGUUUUGUAUAGAGUGUGUUAAAUUCUUAGAUUUCUUUCAACUUAGUUUCAAAAAUAAUUCCUACAUGUAAACAAGC